GGGCGUGGGGCGUGCUUACACAUGCAGUCGAACGAUGAUGCCCAGCUUGCUGGGUGGAUUAGUGGCGAACGGGUGAGUAAUACGUGAGUAACCUGCCCUUGACUCUGGGAUAAGCCUGGGAAACUGGGUCUAAUACUGGAUACUACUUCCUGCCGCAUGGUGGGUGGUGGAAAGGGUUUUACUGGUUUUGGAUGGGCUCACGGCCUAUCAGCUUGUUGGUGGGGUAAUGGCUCACCAAGGCGACGACGGGUAGCCGGCCUGAGAGGGUGACCGGCCACACUGGGACUGAGACACGGCCCAGACUCCUACGGGAGGCAGCAGUGGGGAAUAUUGCACAAUGGGCGGAAGCCUGAUGCAGCGACGCCGCGUGAGGGAUGACGGCCUUCGGGUUGUAAACCUCUUUCAGUAGGGAAGAAGCGAGAGUGACGGUACCUGCAGAAGAAGCGCCGGCUAACUACGUGCCAGCAGCCGCGGUAAUACGUAGGGCGCAAGCGUUGUCCGGAAUUAUUGGGCGUAAAGAGCUCGUAGGCGGUUUGUCGCGUCUGCUGUGAAAGCCCGGGGCUCAACCCCGGGUCUGCAGUGGGUACGGGCAGACUAGAGUGCAGUAGGGGAGACUGGAAUUCCUGGUGUAGCGGUGAAAUGCGCAGAUAUCAGGAGGAACACCGAUGGCGAAGGCAGGUCUCUGGGCUGUUACUGACGCUGAGGAGCGAAAGCAUGGGGAGCGAACAGGAUUAGAUACCCUGGUAGUCCAUGCCGUAAACGUUGGGCACUAGGUGUGGGGGACAUUCCACGUUCUCCGCGCCGUAGCUAACGCAUUAAGUGCCCCGCCUGGGGAGUACGGCCGCAAGGC
rnacentral:rRNA from 1 species